GAACGCACAUUGCGCCCCCUGGUAUUCCGGGGGGCAUGCCUGUUCGAGCGUCAUUACACCCCUCAAGCAUAGCUUGGUAUUGGGCUCUCGCCCCCGCGGCGUGCCCGAAAAGCAGUGGCGGUCCGGUGUGACUUUAAGCGUAGUAAAUUUCUCCCGCUUUGAAAGUUCGCCCCGUGGCCUGCCAGACAACCCCAUAUUCUUCAAUAAUUGACCUCGGAUCAGGUAGGGAUACCCGCUGAACUUAAG
rnacentral:misc_RNA from 1 species